rnacentral:lncRNA from 1 species
CCACGUCCCACACUGCAGGCUGCAGCUUCAACUCCAUCCUUAGAGGAAAUUCUGAGCACAUGAGGUCAACCGUGUCUGGGAGAGAAGGAAUGUGUGGCGUGGAGUGGCCAGCGUCCCCUCCUCCAGGGAGGCUGGGAGGAUCCGGCUGCGGGCACAUGUGUUUGCUGAGUCGGCCUCCUCAAGAGUGGAGAAUGGGGCAUUCGCAAGAGGUUUUGAGCUGAUUCUUCUUGACUUUCUGGUCACUAGGAGUGUCUACUCUGCCGUGGGGGCUGGGCCCCUCCUGACUCAGAGCGGGCCCCUCAGCCUGAAGGAGCCCGGGGAAGACCUGCUCCAGCUUGGCGGAGUCGUGGUGCCCUGGGGAGGCAGAGACUCGGCUGCUGGCCGCGUUCCGAGCAGCUGGAAAGAAUCCUCCCCGUCUUGGAGAGAAGCCUCUACUGGACCCGAACCAGCGAAGGCAGGCCCAGGCGUCUGGGGAAAAGCCACCAGUGGGGCCAGCCCUGCUCCCUGCAGGGGAGCUGCCGUGUCCGUCGCAGAGGAACUUGGCUUCCAGUCCGGUGAUGCAGGGAUUCUGGGGGAUGUGCCACUGCUUUUCCUUUGGGGGCUGAGGAGCCCACCUAGAGAAGGUGGCCGAAUUCCAGCCUCGGCCUGCUAGAGGUUUGGGGGUCAGCGGGCAGCUGCUCGGAAGUAGGAGCCGUGCUCCCGGGGCCCCUGGGGAUAAGGCUUUGUAACGCGGAAGUGACUACCUUGCCAUUGCUGGGGAGGCCGGCUUAGGUGGGAGAAUUGCAAAUUUAGCUACAAGCUUUUUCUCUAGUACUUGUCACCCUCAAAAGCACCUUCCCCUUCUCCUCCCUUCAUGUUCAGCGACAUUUACAGAGGCUGUGUUAGUUUCCCGGGGCCGCUGUAACAAAUCGCCACAAGCUGGGUGACGUCCGACAGCAGAACUUUAUUCUCUCACAGUUGUGGAGGCCAGAAGUCGGAAACCAAGCCAUCAGAAAGGUGAAGCAGGAAGGCUCAUGCCCGGCCCUGGCCUCAGAGCGUCUUUCACGAGCAAAGCGUCUUACAGGAAAUGUCUGCACCACACGGUCCACCAUUCACACUUCUUUACGGAGCUCUGAGAAGCAGGACCCAAGAAGGGGAGGCAGACAGGACUGAGAACAGGGAGAGCCCAAAGCAAUAGCCCAGGACCAGUGUGACCCAGUGACCCCAAAGAGGAUGGCCACCCCUGCUCCCACACUGGAGACUCUACCCUGUCGUGUCACCAUGUCGGCCACUUCCUGCCUUCCAGGCACUCUUUUUCCCUCUACACCCAUAGUUCUCAAAGUCUGGCCCCUGGACCAGCAGCAUCAGCGUUUCCUGGGAACUUGUCAGAAAUGCACACUCUCAGUCUCCUCUCCAGAUGCACUGGAGCAGACUCUGGGGGUGGGGCUCAGCAUCUGUGUUUCAACAGGCCAGGUUGAUUCUGAUCCACGCUAAAGUGGGAGAACGCUGCUCUGGAUUUUCAGAGAAAUCCUGCUUUGGAAGAACUUACUACCUCCUCUGCAGAGCCACCAUUUUUAUUACUAGAAGCUUCAGGAAUAAUUAAAACAAGGAAGCUGACAGAUUCAGUAAGAGCCUGUGAGUCAAAGAUUGCAAAUGGGCUGCCCGAGGGCACAUCUUAUUCUUGGAUUUGUUUGGCCUGCACAUAUUUUAAAAAAUUUAAUUAGUUGCUAGCGUUAACGAAGUGGGAAAUUUCACAUAGAAAUCCAGAUUUCAAUAUUUCUUGAAAAAGUUGGUGUGUCUGGCACUCCUGAUACACCCUGUUCCCACGUGACAGUGGACAGGAGCAGAGCACAGCCACUGUGUUUCAAUGAGGCAAAG